rnacentral:hammerhead_ribozyme from 1 species
GCACUGCUGAAGAGUCCCACAAUAAGGCGAAACGGCUGUCCAGUGC